rfam:Kluyvera intestini strain GT-16 tig00000000, whole genome shotgun sequence.
AACCGCUGGUGGCGCACUCCCUGACAUUGGGCAGUGUUUCACGUGCGUAUUCAGCACACCGAUACCCGGCCCGCCAACUGAGCGGGCUUUUUUUG